GAUGAACGCUGGCGGCGUGCCUAAUACAUGCAAGUCGAGCGAACAGACGAGAGUGCUUGCACUCUCUGACGUUAGCGGCGGACGGGUGAGUAACACGUGGGUAACCUACCUAUAAGACUGGGAUAACUUCGGGAAACCGGAGCUAAUACCGGAUAAUAUUUAGCUUCGCAUGAAGCAAUAGAGAAAGAUGGUUCUGCUGUCACUUAUAGAUGGAUCCGCGGUGUAUUAGCUAGUUGGUGAGGUAACGGCUCACCAAGGCAACGAUACAUAGCCGACCUGAGAGGGUGAUCGGCCACACUGGGACUGAGACACGGCCAAGAGUCCCACGGGAGGCAGCAGUAGGGAAUCUUCCGCAAUGGACGAAAGUCUGACGGAGCAAUGCCGCGUGAGUGAAGAAGGUUUUCGGAUCGUAAAACUCUGUUGUAAGGGAAGAACAAGUACGUUAGUAACUGAACGUACAUUGACGGUACCUUACCAGAAAGCCACGGCUAACUACGUG
rnacentral:rRNA from 1 species